UGAAACUUCGGCCCGGCCCAUCACCAUUUCCAGCAAACUUGAACUAUCACUUUCGAACACCCAUCUCCUACUUUGACCUUUCUCUGAUCCCACGUGCGUCCCUUCUCUUUUCCUCAAGAACUUCAACCCGUUCAGCAAAGCUAGGGCUUCAGCUUGCUGGGGGGAAGACGCCCGCAGCUCUUUAACAAAACCCUCGAAGACGAGCCCUGACGGAUCGCGCAAAACCGCAGCAACUGAACAUAAAUAUUCGCCCGGAGUCCACGAUGCAUCAACAUUCAGCUUCAUCUCAUCUUUUCCCGGCGGCUUCCAUCUAAUCGGUAAGCUUCGAGCCGUGGGUCUUUGCUGUUUCUGAUUCGCCCAUCUGCUGAAAUUCUUUUGUUGUGCUUGUGCUAGAUCUACAAUAUCAACCGAUUGUGGAGGCUUUGCUCGGAAAAUAAAGUUAUUUCGGGUCUUCCAUAUGUUCCACAGCACCGCGGCCACGAGUUCUCUUUCAGGUAAAACAUCCCUUCCUUCGAAAACUUCCAUGAGCCACUUAUCGAACCUUGUGAUGUUGCAUGGGUUUCUGAUGAGAUUGAUUCGUGGGUCUGCCCAUAUUUUUUUCGUCCAUUUGCAGAGUAGAAAUAGGUGUUCUGUUGUUUCCAUAUGUGUGGUGCAAAGUGGACAGUAGGGGUCGGGUAGUAGCUUCCUUUUAUGCAAGUUCUCCCUCGUAGGUAUGGCGUUUUGACAUAGACUCCAUAGGAAAGUUCUCAUUUUCGGAGGGAUAGCUAGACUCCAAAUUCCAGUCCAAAGUGUUCUUGGUGGCUUGAACGAGCAAGAUGCUCUGUUUUGUUCUGUUCUCGUGGUAUUAGAAUAGGCCAUAUUGUACCCACUCUUCACAGUAUAUGUCCCCGAUUUAUUACCUGUCCAAACUAGACAAUCAUUCUUUGGGAUCGGGCUGAUGGGUAUCGCGAGUAUCUCAUUUGCUGCUUUAUCUUCGAAAAGAUUAAGGAUCAAACUUUCCUUCCAUGUCCUCGAGUCUUCAUUGAUCAGUUCAUCCACCAUAACUGGAUCAUUUUGGUUGGCUGGGCCACCAAGCACUCCAAACUUUAGCCAUUUGUCUUCUCGUAUAUUGAUAGACUUGCCAUCCCCCACUGACCAUUUAACCUCUGAUUCUAUGGCCUCUCGUCCUGUUAAAAUGCUUUGCCACCCCCAAGAUGGCCGCUGCCCUGUUUUCGCCUUCCACAAGUCUCCAUUUGGAAAGUAGAUGCCUUUCAAUAUUUUACUCCACAAAGCUGAAGGAUUCUUGGAUAAUCGCCAAGCUUGCUUGCCGAGCAUUGCUCUGUUAAAAUUUAUCAAAUCUUUGAACCCCAAACCUCCCUCAUCCUUUCUGGUUUUUAAAGUUUCCCAAUUCUUCCAAUGCAAACCUCUUUUUGAUUCACUUUUCUACCACCAAAAUGACGCAAUUCUUUUUUCUAUGGCUUUGCAAAUAGAGAUAGGCAAUUUAAAGACGGACAUCGCAUAAUGAGGGAGGGCUUGUACAACACUCUUUAUAAGAAUUUCUUUUCCUGCUUUGGACAAUAACUUUUCUUUCCAUCCCUCUAAUUUCGAGUUUACUCUUGCUAUAAUCCAGGCGAACAUCUCCUUCUUUGAAUGACCCCAUUCUGUUGGUAUUCCAAGAUAUUUCCCUGUUUUGUCUAUGAUUGGUACUCGAAGCUCUUGUGCUAGGUUUCUUUUCAGAGUUAGAGGAUAAUUACUACUGAAACAUACACCUGAUUUGUUUAAAUUAAUAGCUUGGCCUGUUGCAAAGCAAUACUGGUUGAGAAUAUUUGCUAAGUUUUGGCAUUCUACGAUAGUCCCAUUCAGAAAAAAUAUGGCAUCAUCUGCAAAGAGUAAGUGAGACAAUGUAGAGCAGAACCUGUUUAGCUUAAUCCCCUGAAUGCUUCCGUCUUCCAAGGCUUUGUUCAUCAUCCAAGUUAGAACAUUUGUUGUUAAGAUGAAUAAAUAUGGGGAAAGAGGGUCGCCUUGUCUAAUUCCUCUUGAAAGGGUGAAAAAUUGAGUAGGCUCCCCAUUUAUCUUCACACUUAGGGACACCGUCGAAACACAUUGCAUGAUUAAAGAUACCCACCUCUCACAGAAACCCAUUUUCAGCAUGCAAUCCCUCAAAAAAUUCUAUUCAAUUCUGUCAUAGGCUUUCUGCAUAUCCAGUUUCAAUAUCGCCUGAAACUUUUUCUUUCUUUUUGCUAUUCUCAACUGAUGUAGAACUUCCUGAACUAUGAAAAUAUUGUCUUGGAUUUGCCUCCCUUGUACAAAGGCACUCUGUUCAGGCUCUAUAAUUUCUGGAAGCCAGAUUUUUAGUCUAUUAGCCAUGACUUUUGAUAUGAUUUUGUAGCUGAAAUUGCAUAAACUGAUAGGUCUGAAUUGGCCUAUAUUUUCUGGGUUUUUAACUUUUGGUAUCAAGGAUAUGUGCGUUCUGUUUAGUAGAGGGUCGAUGAUACCUAUUUCAAAGAAGUUCUGCACUAAUUGGAACAAAUCAAGCUUGAUAUCCUCUCAAGACUGUUGAUAAAAAAGUCCAUUUAGUCCGUCGGGGCCAGGGGCCUUUAAUGAGCCCAGUUGAAAAACUGCAUCUUUCACCACUUCAAGGGUAAUAUUUGCCAUCAGAUGUUUUAUUUCCUCUCUAACUGGGCUGGGGCAUUGGUUUAGGAUUGGCUGAUAGUUCCUAGGACCCACUGAUUUAUAAAGGUUCCGGUAGAAGGACCUUAUGUGUUCUUUGAGUGCCGAUGGGUCCCUACACCAGCUUUGAUCUUCCAUUUGCAGCAUUGUAAUCCUAUUCCUCUGUCUUCUCUGUACCGUAGUAGCGUGAAAGAACUUAGUAUUCCUAUCUCCCCAUUGCAGUCAAUUGAUGCGAGAUCUCAUCCCCCAAAAUUUUUCCUCUUGUUUCCAGAGUUUAUCUAUCUGAUCAACGAUGUUCUGAGCUUCCUUCCUGCUGGAAUUUUUGGAAUUCUGGUUUGUAAUCUCUAUUAGUUCUCUGUUAAGCUCCCUGAUGCGACAUUGCGCAUUGGCAAACUUGUCUUUACUCCACUUUAGAAGCUCCUUGGACAUAUCAUUGACUUUCAUUGAGAAGCUCAUCUGGAUUAAAGGCGUUUUGUUCCAUACCCUUUUUAUAGUCUCUCCACACUCUUGGUCUUCUAACCAGUAUGCUUCGAAUUUAAAUUCUCUCUUUUCAUAAUUUCAGGAUGCAGCACAAGGAGAAGAGAGCUAUGGUCCGAACCAAUCGCUGGUAGCGCCUGAACUUCAGCAGCAGGAAAGGUAAUCCUCCAUUCCAUAGUGCAUAGAACUCUAUCUAGUCUUUUUUUAACAAGGGCCUCUCCUUCCCGGUUGUUUGCCCAAGUGUAGGCGCAACCUUUGCUGUCCAUGUCCAUUAGGGAGCACUCAUUUAAUAACUCUCGGAAUGCUGCUAUUCUGUGAUUAUCUGCUUCUCUUUUCUCCACCUUCUCCCAAACAUAUAAAAUUUCAUUAAAAUCUCCCAUGCAAAUCCACGGUAAAUGAGUUGUUGGCCGGGAAUCCUUCAAUUUUUGCCAUAGCUUUAGUCUCUCCCCGAAAUUCGUCGAAGCAUGAAGAAAAGUUAUUCUCAUUUGAUAACCACUUUCUGGAUCUUUACACUCCAAAUCAAUAAAAUCUUUAGAGCUAGCAUUUAUCUUUAACUCCACCUCCUCACUCCAUAACAUUGCUAAGCCUCCCGCAAUUCCUUCCGGGUUUUCUAGUAACAGAUUUUGGAAUUAAGUCUCCUUUUAACACCUUCCACCAUCGUUGCUUUGUUCUUUGUUUUCAUCAAGAAGAUGAGAUUGCGCCUUUCAAGAGCUACUAGAGCUCUUAGCUCCUGGAAUGUCGGGGGAUUGCCCAGCCCCUGACAAUUCCAACUUAUAAUUUUCAUAUCGUCUCCGGUGGCUUAUUAGGGCUAGCCACCACAGCCCAUUCAUUAUCAUCUUUGAUCAACUGAAUUGGGGUUUCCAAAAUCUCCGACUCCUCAAUUGUAAAAGGAAUCUGUUCUACUGUGCAUUUCUGUUUUUUUGCCCUAUGCACCUUCAUAUUUUUCUUGCUGCAUUUCCCAACCUUUGACAGGAGCGGUUUAGUAACUUCUAAACACAUAAUCUGUUUGCCAUGAUCUGUAUUUUUCAUAGUUGUAACUGCUGUAUCUUCUGGUGCCUCCUGUGUGUUUGAAUUUUCUGCUCUUUUCUUGUUGCGAUUUGGGGCGUCCCUAUGUCACUUUCAUCUCUAGCCACUAUAUCCAUUUCAUAGGUAAUAGGAGGAAUAUCUAGUGCCGUAUCUUCCUCAGCAACUUCUUCAUCUAGUUUGCCAUAAAACGCUUCCCAAUGGGGGCUAUGAUCUCGCACUUCUGCCUUAAGCCAUGGGCCAUAAUUUCCUGCUUUAUUUUCAGCCCAUGAUGUUUGCUCAUAAGGAAUUUCUUCACAAUUAGUAGCGUAAUGCCCAAUUUUUCCACACGAAUAGCAAUAGUGCGGUAAACGUUCAUAUUUAAACUCUACCUAUAACUUCUUGUUUCCUAUGUCCAGAAUAGCACCUGAUUUUAGUGGAGCUGAUAAGUCCACUUCCACUCUCACUCUUCCACCUUUCUGCGGUCCGUUUCCUUUUGAAUCCACCUGAAUUUCCAGCACUUUGCCUACCUUUUUUGCCAGGUCAGUGAACACUUCUUCCAUCAUCCACCCAGGGGGAAUCCCUCCAAUAUGCACCCAAAAAGCGCAUCGAGAAUAAUCAUAACAGUACUCUGGGAUAUCCGGUUCACAUUGUUUAAGUACUAGUAAAUUACUGGCAAAAGACCAGGGUCCGGAUUUCAUAAUUCUCUCUUUUUUCUGCUUCGAUUGAAAAACGAAAGAAAAAACCAGGUUCCUUUUGUGAGCAAGCCACCGCUUCUGUUUUCCAUGCUUUCUUCAUUACAUUUAGGAAAGCUGGAAAGUUGACAUUAAGUUUGGAGUAUAGCUUCCCAAAUAGGAUAUGAUGGCAUUCUUCCCUUUUUUCUGGGGGGAUCUCUUUCGUCACUUCUACUACAUCGUUCUCCGACCACAAGUGGCCUAGACUUUUACAUAAGGCAGCCAUUCGCAUUUCAUUCUCCUCUUUACCUUCCAUUUUUCUUUCCUGUAGGUUUGAGGUUUGGUAAAUCUGUAGAAAUUGCAGAUUGAAGGGGGCUCUGAGAUGGAGGUGAAUAGGUGAGUGGGCUGGUGGGUAUGGUAAUUAGAAGGUUGUGUAUCGAGUACAAGGAAGACACGGCAGCCAGAGAGUAUCCGCUUCCCCAGAAUCAUCCAUUUGUCUUAACAGCUCCGGACAAAUAACAAAAUCACUACAGAUCAAACAGUUGCCAUUCACUCGCUACCACUGCAUCCAAGGACUACUACUAUCUACGGUUCUCCAGUGAAGAUGGGAGCGUCAGAAUCUAUUCCACUGCAUCGAAAUCAGAGAGGCCAAAAGAAAUCCAUGAGAAUGACAACACAGCCAACCUUUUGCGAAGCUCGGAUUCUUCCAAACGCUACUUGGAUCCAUCCGAAGGGAGAGAACAGGACUCAAGACUUCUCAGAUGAGGGGAUUACGUGAUGGGUUUCAUUGUUCAAAAAGGGGUAAUCAUGAUUUUUGGGUAUCAGAAAUCUACUGGAUAUUUAGGGUUUUGGUUUUGGGGGGCAAGCUACCAAAAGGGUAGAGGGGAGCUCUCAGAGUCGAGAGAGAAAUACCGUCGUAAGUGAUUGAAUUGUUGAUAUAUCGUCAUAAUAAUGAAGCAGGAAAGAGAUUUAUUUAUUUCAA
rnacentral:lncRNA from 1 species